UGGAGAGUUUGAUCCUGGCUCAGGACGAACGCUGGCGGCGUGCUUAACACAUGCAAGUCGAACGAUGAACCGGAGCUUGCUUCGGGGAUUAGUGGCGAACGGGUGAGUAACACGUGAGUAACCUGCCCUGGACUCUGGGAUAACCCCGAGAAAUCGGAGCUAAUACCG
rnacentral:rRNA from 1 species